rnacentral:lncRNA from 11 species
UGCAGCUUUUCCACAAGAGGCCUGAGGACUCCAUCCAGCUCUGCUGUCUCUGGACUACUUGUUUUGAGAACACAUGCUCUAUAUAUGCCAUUAGGAUACAACUCAUCAUUAGAGAUCAUUGCCCAUAUUGACUGCAACAGUAGAUGAAGACAGCAUGGAUUAUAAAUCUUCACUUCCAGACUUGAGGUUUGCGGAGCCAUAGUCCCCAAACACAUCAAAAACAAGAAUAGUUCAUGAAGGCCUAAGCUAACCCCGACUGGAUCCAGCAGGAAUGCAUUAAUCUGCAGAGCAUGUCUUCAGAUAGAGCAAAAUGAAGAGAAAUCAGUAACAAAAACAAGCCAUUUAUAAUACACUGUGAAAAAUCACUAAAACAAUAGCUUUUGGAAACCUUGCAUCUGCAGAAAACCUUCUGGGCUUGAAUCCAAUACAAACCUGUCAGAAAAUAUUGAUGAAAAAUGUGCAUUUACAAUUGUAAAUAAAACAUGAAUAUGGAACCUGCU